GACGAACGCUGGCGGCGUGCUUAACACAUGCAAGUCGAGCGGUAAGGCCCUUUCGGGGGUACACGAGCGGCGAACGGGUGAGUAACACGUGGGUGACCUGCCCUCAGCUCUGGGAUAAGCCUGGGAAACCGGGUCUAAUACUGGAUAUGACUCCAUGACGCAUGUUGUGGGGUGGAAAGCCUUGUGCGGCUGAGGAUGGGCCCGCGGCCUAUCAGCUUGUUGGUGGGGNGAUGGCCUACCAAGGCGACGACGGGUAGCCGGCCUGAGAGGGCGACCGGCCACACUGGGACUGAGACACGGCCCAGACUCCUACGGGAGGCAGCAGUGGGGAAUCUUGCGCAAUGGGCGAAAGCCUGACGCAGCGACGCCGCGUGAGGGAUGACGGCCUGGUU
rnacentral:rRNA from 1 species